rnacentral:piRNA from 1 species
UCCCCGGACUGUCGGCCAGGAGAAG